GAAUAGGGGGAAUUGGCCCUAUAUACUUUGCUGAGGUUUGUCCCGGUGAGUGCAACAAAUACAGACUGGGAAAAACCUGCUCGCCAGGCUGCAUCUGUGGUGUGCUAAACUUAGUUGAUCCUCACAUAUAUAUGUGCUUUGAGGCAGGCAAACCACUCCCACUGGGAUUCACGUUCAGCGAAUGAUGACACUUCGUGUACAUGUGCUCGCUUAGCUACAAUUUCUGCGUCAUUUCUUCGCACAGCAAUGGACUGCAAUGGCCUUCCCUGUGAUAUCGAAGACAUAAAUUCAUAAACUGUUGAAGAACUUUCAGAAAUAACAUAGCUGCUAUUGAUCAAUAUGACGGCCUCUUUCUGUAAUCUCGAUUGUUAACCGAUCUCUUAUGCUGGGCACCCCAACAGGGGUCUUUAGUGUAAUAAAAUAACUGAAGGA